rnacentral:rRNA from 1 species
CCUACGGGAGGCAGCAGUGAGGAAUAUUGGUCAAUGGGCGCGAGCCUGAACCAGCCAAGUAGCGUGAAGGAUGACUGCCCUACGGGUUGUAAACUUCUUUUAUAAAGGAAUAAAGUGAGGCACGUGUGCCUUUUUGCAGGUACUUUAUGAAUAAGGAUCGGCUAACUCCGUGCCAGCAGCCGCGGUAAUACGGAGGAUCCGAGCGUUAUCCGGAUUUAUUGGGUUUAAAGGGAGCGUAGGUGGGUUGUUAAGUCAGUCGUGAAAGUUUGCGGCUCAACCGUAAAAUGGCAAUUGAUACUGGCAGCCUUGAGUACAGUUCAGGUAGGCGGAAUUCGUGGUGUAGCGGUGAAAUGCUUAGAUAUCACGAAGAACCCCGAUUGCGAAGGCAGCUUACUAAACUGCCACUGACAUUGAUGCUCGAAGGUGCGGGUAUCAAACAGGAUUAGAUACCCCGGUAGUC